rnacentral:rRNA from 1 species
GUCUAAUUACGCACUUUUUUUUCGGAAAAGGUGUAAUGAACGUUGAGACGGGUAGGAAGGUCGCGACAGUGUUGCUUUGAAGAGUUUUGAGCGUGAGCUCGCUCGGAGCCGCUGUUGGUGCAGAUCUUGGUGGUAGUAGCAAAUAUUCAAGUGAGAACCUUGAAGGCUGAAGUGGAGCAAGGUUCCAUGUGAACAGCAGUUGGACAUGGGUCAGUCGAUCCUAAGAAAACGGCGAAAGCUUGUUCGAAUUUGCGACAUGAAUUGUAAGACUGAAUAAUUAUUUGUGUGUGUGUUGUGGUGGAGGCGAUUGAGUCGUCACCAGUUUUGGUUUUGUGGAAUUGUCGUACGUUUUCAAAAAGGAAUCCGGUUGUUUUUCUGGGACCGAGUAACGGAGACCAAGCGUAGCGCUUUAAUCUCUAUGUGGGGUUGGGGUUGAACUCAAUCGCGAGGUAACGCAAGCGUACU